GCCCGGAUGGGGUAGCUGGAUAUCCUCGGGGCCUGCGGAGCCCUGAACCCGGGUUCGAAUCCCGGUCCGGGCA
rnacentral:tRNA from 2 species